GAUGAACGCUGGCGGCGUGCCUAAUACAUGCAAGUCGAGCGAACAGACGAGGAGCUUACUCCUCUGACGUUAGCGGCGGACGGGUGAGUAACACGUGGAUAACCUACCUAUAAGACUGGGAUAACUUCGGGAAACCGGAGCUAAUACCGGAUAACAUGUUGAACCGCAUGGUUCAACAGUGAAAGACGGUCUUGCUGUCACUUAUAGAUGGAUCCGCGUCGCAUUAGCUAGUUGGUAAGGUAACGGCUUACCAAGGCAACGAUGCGUAGCCGACCUGAGAGGGUGAUCGGCCACACUGGAACUGAGACACGGUCCAGACUCCUACGGGAGGCAGCAGUAGGGAAUCUUCCGCAAUGGGCGAAAGCCUGACGGAGCAACGCCGCGUGAGUGAAGAAGGUCUUCGGAUCGUAAAACUCUGUUAUUAGGGAAGAACAAAUGUGUAAGUAACUAUGCACGUCUUGACGGUACCUAAUCAGAAAGCCACGGCUAACUACGUA
rnacentral:rRNA from 1 species